GCGGCGGACGGGUGAGUAAUGCCUAGGAAUCUGCCUGGUAGUGGGGGAUAACGUUUCGAAAGGAACGCUAAUACCGCAUACGUCCUACGGGAGAAAGUGGGGGAUCUUCGGACCUCACGCUAUCAGAUGAGCCUAGGUCGGAUUAGCUAGUUGGUGGGGUAAUGGCCCACCAAGGCGACGAUCCGUAACUGGUCUGAGAGGAUGAUCAGUCACACUGGAACUGAGACACGGUCCAGACUCCUACGGGAGGCAGCAGUGGGGAAUAUUGGACAAUGGGCGAAAGCCUGAUCCAGCCAUGCCGCGUGUGUGAAGAAGGUCUUCGGAUUGUAAAGCACUUUAAGUUGGGAGGAAGGGCAGUAAGUUAAUACCUUGCUGUUUUGACGUUACC
rnacentral:rRNA from 1 species